rnacentral:rRNA from 1 species
UUUAUGGAGAGUUUGAUCCUGGCUCAGGAUGAACGCUGGCGGCGUGCCUAAUACAUGCAAGUCGAGCGAACGGACGAGAAGCUUGCUUCUCUGAUGUUAGCGGCGGACGGGUGAGUAACACGUGGAUAACCUACCUAUAAGACUGGGAUAACUUCGGGAAACCGGAGCUAAUACCGGAUAAUAUUUUGAACCGCAUGGUUCAAAAGUGAAAGACGGUCUUGCUGUCACUUAUAGAUGGAUCCGCGCUGCAUUAGCUAGUUGGUAAGGUAACGGCUUACCAAGGCAACGAUGCAUAGCCGACCUGAGAGGGUGAUCGGCCACACUGGAACUGAGACACGGUCCAGACUCCUACGGGAGGCAGCAGUAGGGAAUCUUCCGCAAUGGGCGAAAGCCUGACGGAGCAACGCCGCGUGAGUGAUGAAGGUCUUCGGAUCGUAAAACUCUGUUAUUAGGGAAGAACAUAUGUGUAAGUAACUGUGCACAUCUUGACGGUACCUAAUCAGAAAGCCACGGCUAACUACGUGCCAGCAGCCGCGGUAAUACGUAGGUGGCAAGCGUUAUCCGGAAUUAUUGGGCGUAAAGCGCGCGUAGGCGGUUUUUUAAGUCUGAUGUGAAAGCCCACGGCUCAACCGUGGAGGGUCAUUGGAAACUGGAAAACUUGAGUGCAGAAGAGGAAAGUGGAAUUCCAUGUGUAGCGGUGAAAUGCGCAGAGAUAUGGAGGAACACCAGUGGCGAAGGCGACUUUCUGGUCUGUAACUGACGCUGAUGUGCGAAAGCGUGGGGAUCAAACAGGAUUAGAUACCCUGGUAGUCCACGCCGUAAACGAUGAGUGCUAAGUGUUAGGGGUUUCCGCCCCUUAGUGCUGCAGCUAACGCAUUAAGCACUCCGCCUGGGGAGUACGACCGCAAGGUUGAAACUCAAAGGAAUUGACGGGGACCCGCACAAGCGGUGGAGCAUGUGGUUUAAUUCGAAGCAACGCGAAGAACCUUACCAAAUCUUGACAUCCUUUGACAACUCUAGAGAUAGAGCCUUCCCUUCGGGGACAAAGUGACAGGUGGUGCAUGGUUGUCGUCAGCUCGUGUCGUGAGAUGUUGGGUUAAGUCCCGCAACGAGCGCAACCCUUAAGCUUAGUUGCCAUCAUUAAGUUGGGCACUCUAAGUUGACUGCCGGUGACAAACCGGAGGAAGGUGGGGAUGACGUCAAAUCAUCAUGCCCCUUAUGAUUUGGGCUACACACGUGCUACAAUGGACAAUACAAAGGGCAGCGAAACCGCGAGGUCAAGCAAAUCCCAUAAAGUUGUUCUCAGUUCGGAUUGUAGUCUGCAACUCGACUACAUGAAGCUGGAAUCGCUAGUAAUCGUAGAUCAGCAUGCUACGGUGAAUACGUUCCCGGGUCUUGUACACACCGCCCGUCACACCACGAGAGUUUGUAACACCCGAAGCCGGUGGAGUAACCUUUUAGGAGCUAGCCGUCGAAGGUGGGACAAAUGAUUGGGGUGAAGUCGUAACAAGGUAGCCGUAUCGGAAGGUGCGGCUGGAUCACCUCCUUUCU